UACGUAGGGUGCAAGCGUUGUCCGGAAUUAUUGGGCGUAAAGGGCUCGUAGGCGGUUUGUCGCGUCGGGAGUGAAAACUCAGGGCUUAACCCUGAGCCUGCUUCCGAUACGGGCAGACUAGAGGUAUGCAGGGGGAGAAUGGAAUUCCUGGUGUAGCGGUGAAAUGCGCAGAUAUCAGGAGGAACACCGGUGGCGAAGGCGGUUCUCUGGGCAUGUCCUGACGCUGAGGAGCGAAAGUGUGGGGAGCGAACAGG
rnacentral:rRNA from 1 species